UACGUAGGGGGCAAGCGUUGUCCGGAAUCAUUGGGCGUAAAGAGCGCGUAGGCGGCCCGGUAAGUCCGCUGUAAAAGUCCAGGGCUCAACCCUGGAAGCCGGUGGAUACUGGUCGGCUAGAGUCCGGAAGAGGCGAGUGGAAUUCCUGGUGUAGCGGUGGAAAUGCGCAGAUAUCAGGAGGAACACCGAUGGCGAAGCAGCUCGCUGGACGGUACUGAGCUGAGGCGCGAAAGCGUGGGAGCGAACAGG
rnacentral:rRNA from 1 species